rnacentral:rRNA from 1 species
AAUGCCGGAUGCUCCAUCACACCGCAUGGUGUUUUGGGAAAGCCUUUGCGGCAUGGGAUGGGGUCGCGUCCUAUCAGCUUGAUGGCGGGGUAACGGCCCACCAUGGCUUCGACGGGUAGCCGGCCUGAGAGGGCGACCGGCCACAUUGGGACUGAGAUACGGCCCAGACUCCUACGGGAGGCAGCAGUGGGGAAUAUUGCACAAUGGGCGCAAGCCUGAUGCAGCGACGCCGCGUGAGGGAUGGAGGCCUUCGGGUUGUAAACCUCUUUUGUUAGGGAGCAAGGCAUUUUGUGUUGAGUGUACCUUUCGAAUAAGCACCGGCUAACUACGUGCCAGCAGCCGCGGUAAUACGUAGGGUGCAAGCGUUAUCCGGAAUUAUUGGGCGUAAAGGGCUCGUAGGCGGUUCGUCGCGUCCGGUGUGAAAGUCCAUCGCUUAACGGUGGAUCCGCGCCGGGUACGGGCGGGCUUGAGUGCGGUAGGGGAGACUGGAAUUCCCGGUGUAACGGUGGAAUGUGUAGAUAUCGGAAAAGA